rnacentral:tRNA from 1 species
GCNUUUUUAGUUUAUGUAAAACACUGAUCUUGUAAAUCAAAAAUAAAUAAAAGCA